rnacentral:Y_RNA from 1 species
GGCUGGUCCAAUGGUAGUGGGUUAUCAGAACUUAUUAACAUUAGUGUCACUAAAGUUUACAUACAAUCUCCCACUGCUAAAUUUGGCUUAAA